AAUGUUUCAUUUAUAUGCAUGUGUUAUAUAUGUUUGAGCUACAAUUUUUUGGAUGCUAUGUUUCCUAUUAGUCAAAGAAAUUGAUCAAUAUGAGGUUCGAGGAAUAAUUUCAUAGUUUAGUCCUUUACAAAUAUGAGCUAAAUAAAUUGUUGGAAAAAAUAUAAUUUGUUCAUAUUUUAGUCAUUUGCAAAUAUGAGCGAGAUAAAUUGUGGUACAUAGAGAUAAUAAGAUUAAAUAGAGGUAUGUAAUUAUCAUUCUUAGAAUAAGCUACAAUGGAGAAUUUUUUUCAUUUAUAUGUUAUGUUUGAGCUAAAUAAAUUGUGGUGAAAAAUAUAAUUUGUUCAUAGUUUAGUCAUUUGCAAAUAUGAGCUAAAUAAAUUGCA
rnacentral:lncRNA from 1 species